UAAAAAAAGGUAAGCUACUAAGAGCGAAUGGUGGAUGCCUUGACUGGUAAAGGCGAUGAAGGACGUACUAGACUGCGAUAAGCUACGGGGAGCUGUCAAGAAGCUUUGAUCCGUAGAUUUCCGAAUGGGGCAACCCAAUGUAUAGAGAUAUGCAUUACCUAUAUAGGAGCGAACGAGGGGAAUUGAAACAUCUUAGUACCCUCAGGAAAAGAAAUCAAUAGAGAUUGCGUCAGUAGCGGCGAGCGAAAGCGCAAGAGGGCAAACCCAGUGCUUGCACUGGGGGUUGUAGGACUGCAAUGUGCAAGAGGUAAGUUUAGCAGAACAUUCUGGAAAGUAUAACCAUAGAGGGUGAUAGUCCCGUAUGCGAAAAACAAACCUUAGCUAGCAGUAUCCUGAGUAGGGCGGGACACGAGGAAUCCUGUCUGAAUCCGGGUCGACCACGAUCCAACCCUAAAUACUAAUACCAGAUCGAUAGUGCACAAGUACCGUGAGGGAAAGGUGAAAAGAACUGAGGUGAUCAGAGUGAAAUAGAACCUGAAACCAUUUGCUUACAAUCAUUCAGAGCCCUAUGUAGCAAUACAGGGUGAUGGACUGCCUUUUGCAUAAUGAGCCUGCGAGUUGUGGUGUCUGGCAAGGUUAAGCAAACGCGAAGCCGUAGCGAAAGCGAGUCUGAAUAGGGCGCUUAGUCAGAUGCUGCAGACCCGAAACGAAGUGAUCUAUCCAUGAGCAAGUUGAAGCUAGUGUAAGAACUAGUGGAGGACUGAACCCAUAGGCGUUGAAAAGCCCCGGGAUGACUUGUGGAUAGGGGUGAAAGGCCAAUCAAACUUCGUGAUAGCUGGUUCUCUCCGAAAUAUAUUUAGGUAUAGCGUUGUGUCGUAAUAUAAGGGGGUAGAGCACUGAAUGGGCUAGGGCAUACACCAAUGUACCAAACCCUAUCAAACUCCGAAUACCUUAUAUGUAAUCACAGCAGUCAGGCGGCGAGUGAUAAAAUCCGUCGUCAAGAGGGAAACAACCCAGACUACCAGCUAAGGUCCCUAAAUCUUACUUAAGUGGAAAACGAUGUGAAGUUACUUAAACAACCAGGAGGUUGGCUUAGAAGCAGCCAUCCUUUAAAGAAAGCGUAAUAGCUCACUGGUCUAGUGAUUUUGCGCGGAAAAUAUAACGGGGCUAAAGUAAGUACCGAAGCUGUAGACUUGCACACAACUUAGAUUAUUUAAGUUUAGAAUAUGAGAAACUAAGUUAUAUGUUUAGUUAUAUUUUUACUGAUUUUUAUAGAGUAAAGAUAGAAAUAAAACUUAGUAAAAUCAGUAAAAAUAUUCUUAGGCUAAAGUUAAGUAGUUUAAGUUGUGUGCAAGUGGUAGGAGAGCGUUCUAUUUGCGUCGAAGGUAUACCGGUAAGGAGUGCUGGAGCGAAUAGAAGUGAGCAUGCAGGCAUGAGUAGCGAUAAUUAAUGUGAGAAUCAUUAACGCCGUAAACCCAAGGUUUCCUACGCGAUGCUCGUCAUCGUAGGGUUAGUCGGGUCCUAAGUCGAGUCCGAAAGGGGUAGACGAUGGCAAAUUGGUUAAUAUUCCAAUACCAACAUUAGUGUGCGAUGGAAGGACGCUUAGGGCUAAGGGGGCUAGCGGAUGGAAGUGCUAGUCUAAGGUCGUAGGAGGUUAUACAGGCAAAUCCGUAUAACAAUACUCCGAGAACUGAAAGGCUUUUUGAAGUCUUCGGAUGGAUAGAAGAACCCCUGAUGCCGUCGAGCCAAGAAAAGUUUCUAAGUUUAGCUAAUGUUGCCCGUACCGUAAACCGACACAGGUGGGUGGGAUGAGUAUUCUAAGGCGCGUGGAAGAACUCUCUUUAAGGAACUCUGCAAAAUAGCACCGUAUCUUCGGUAUAAGGUGUGGUUAGCUUCGUACUAGGAUUUACUCCGAAAGCGAAGAAACUUACAACAAAGAGUCCCUCCCGACUGUUUACCAAAAACACAGCACUCUGCUAACUCGUAAGAGGAUGUAUAGGGUGUGACGCCUGCCCGGUGCUCGAAGGUUAAUUGAUGGGGUUAGCAUUAGCGAAGCUCUUGAUCGAAGCCCGAGUAAACGGCGGCCGUAACUAUAACGGUCCUAAGGUAGCGAAAUUCCUUGUCGGUUAAAUACCGACCUGCAUGAAUGGCGUAACGAGAUGGGAGCUGUCUCAAAGAGGGAUCCAGUGAAAUUGUAGUGGAGGUGAAAAUUCCUCCUACCCGCGGCAAGACGGAAAGACCCCGUGGACCUUUACUACAGCUUGACACUGCUACUUGGAUAAGAAUGUGCAGGAUAGGUGGGAGGCUUUGAGUAUAUGACGCCAGUUGUAUAUGAGCCAUUGUUGAGAUACCACUCUUUCUUAUUUGGGUAGCUAACCAGCUUGAGUUAUCCUCAAGUGGGACAAUGUCUGGUGGGUAGUUUGACUGGGGCGGUCGCCUCCCAAAUAAUAACGGAGGCUUACAAAGGUUGGCUCAGAACGGUUGGAAAUCGUUCGUAGAGUAUAAAGGUAUAAGCCAGCUUAACUGCAAGACAUACAAGUCAAGCAGAGACGAAAGUCGGUCUUAGUGAUCCGGUGGUUCUGUGUGGAAGGGCCAUCGCUCAAAGGAUAAAAGGUACCCCGGGGAUAACAGGCUGAUCUCCCCCAAGAGCUCACAUCGACGGGGAGGUUUGGCACCUCGAUGUCGGCUCAUCGCAUCCUGGGGCUGGAGCAGGUCCCAAGGGUAUGGCUGUUCGCCAUUUAAAGCGGUACGCGAGCUGGGUUCAGAACGUCGUGAGACAGUUCGGUCCCUAUCUGCCGUGGGCGUAAGAAGAUUGAAGAGAUUUGACCCUAGUACGAGAGGACCGGGUUGAACAAACCACUGGUGUAGCUGUUGUUCUGCCAAGAGCAUCGCAGCGUAGCUAAGUUUGGAAAGGAUAAACGCUGAAAGCAUCUAAGCGUGAAGCCAACUCUAAGAUGAAUCUUCUCUAAGCUCUCUAGAAGACUACUAGUUUGAUAGGCUGGGUGUGUAAUGGAUGAAAGUCCUUUAGCUGACCAGUACUAAUAGAGCGUUUGGCUUAUCUUUAAUAAAGCAU
rnacentral:rRNA from 1 species